rnacentral:rRNA from 1 species
UACGUAGGGUCCGAGCGUUGUCCGGAUUUAUUGGGCGUAAAGAGCUCGUAGGCGGUUCCGUAAGUCAGAUGUGGAAACUCAGGGCUCAACCCGGAGACGCCAUCUGAUACUGCGGUGACUGGAGUCUGGUAGGGGAACACGGAAUUCCUGGUGUAGCGGUGAAAUGCGCAGAUAUCAGGAGGAACACCGAUGGCGAAGGCAGUGUUCUGGGCCAGUACUGACGCUGAGGAGCGAAAGCGUGGGGAGCAAACAGG